rnacentral:tmRNA from 1 species
GGGGGUGAAUUGGUAUCGAUGUUGUAUUGAUUAUUUAAAAACAUGUCGUUUUUAAAGUAAUUUUCGUAAAAAAUUACUAAGGCAUUAUAAACGCCAAAGAAAAUUAUAAUUACGCUUUAGCAGCUUAAAACUGAUAAACAAACUUUUAUAAAUAUUAUCUUAAAUAUUAUAAAAGAAAAAUAAGAUAAGCAUUUGAAUAUAUAAUUUUAAAAAAUGCUGAAAAUAAAAAAAUAAAUAAUUAAACGCAGAAUAAUUAUUUAAAAUUUAUGCAAAAAAAAACAUGUUACAAUUUUUAAAUAAAAAAUACUACAGACGUGGGUUCAAAUCCCACCACCUCCA